GUAAGCUCAGCCCAUCAAGGUGCUGCCUCGUCAAACAGGUAGAGAAUUGGGAAGCUGGUGGAAAUCCGGCGCUGCCCCCGCAACGGUGUGGGCGAGAGAUUUAGCAAGACCACUGAGGCGUUUAGCCUUGGGAAGGUGCUUUAUCAUGGUUCGAUGCGACCACUCGCUCCAAGCCCGGAAACCAGCCUUGUUACGAAGUCGAAA
rnacentral:ncRNA from 2 species